AUGAGCCAAGGGGUGAUGCCCCUACCCCAGGAAGCGAGGUGUGUGGCUGGGAGGGCAAGGCCCGCGCUGUCCACGGGGGCUGCGUGGAGCAGCAGGCAGACGAAAGGGUGGAGUACGUGCAGGAAGGGAGUACAUGUGGUAAAACUUUAUAGCUUGUCGCAGGCUACUUUCACUUUUGAUACUAGGCAACAGCUGGGAGAGAGUGGAGCGAGCACACGCAGCAGUGCCAGGAGCGCCCGCAGCCCCGAGCGCCCACCCGAGCCCCGGCCCCAGAUGAGUUCCGGCCAGGAGAAGCCCUUGGUGGGGAAGCCCCCCGGGAACCAGCUGAGCCCCACGUGCCCUGGCCAUGGGCUGGCUGGUGUCAGCGAGAGCAGCAGCCCCCAGGUCCAGAGCUGGCACCUCACCACAAAGCCCUGCCUCCCCUCCCAGAUGCAGAGCUCCCUGCAGCCCCUGUGCCUGUCCCUGGAGAAGCUCCAUCGGGUCAAGGACAGCAUGCUGGAGGCCAUGGACCGGGGGCUGAGCCGCCGGACACACGCCCAAGCCACAGUGCGCAUGCUGCCCACCUUCAUCCGCUCCACCCCGGACGGCACCGAGAGAGGCGAAUUCCUGGUGCUGGAGCUGGGAGACACCGAUUUGCGGGUGCUGCUGGUGGAGCUGUCGGGGGACACGCGCCAGACGGUGACGGUGAAGGACCGGCGUUUUCCUAUGUCAGACGCAAUCGCCCAGGGCCCUGGCGAGAAGCUCUUUGCCUUCAUGGCGACAUGCCUGUGUGAGUUCCUGGACGGGCUCCGCUUGCCCCAGAGGGCCUUCCAGCUGGGCUUCUCCUUCCCCUUCUCCUGCAGGCAGACGCGGCUGGACCAGAGCUACCUGAUCUCCUGGGCCAAACGCUUCAAGUGCCCUGGUGUGGAGGGGAGAGACGUGGUGGAGUUACUGCAAAAUGCCAUCAACAAGCAAGAUCGCUACUGCAUCAAGGUCAUCGCUGUGGUGAACGACACCACUGGUACCAUGAUGAGCUGCGAGGCCAGUGCAGAGCCGUGCGAGGUCGGCCUGAUUGUCGACGCUGGCACCAACAGCUGCUUCAUGGCGGAGGCGCGGCGCGUGGAGGUGGUGGAGGAGAACCUGGGCCGGAUGGGCGUGGUCACCGAGUGGGGCUCCUUCGGGGACGACGGCACCUUGAACGACAUGCUGAGCCCCUACGACCGGCUGGUGGACGAGACCUCCCUGAACCCAGGGAAGCAGAGGUUCGAGAAGAUGAUCAGUGGCUUGUACUUGGGCGAGAUCGUCCGGCACAUUCUGGCCGAGCUGGCCACUCAGGGCGGGCUCUUCAGCGGGCGCACGACCCCUGCCCUCCUGACCAAGGAGUCGGUCCAGAUCCGGGACAUCCUGGAGAUCACAGACGAGCAGGUGGGACUGGCCAGGGCGCAGUGUGUCCUGCGGCGGCUGGGGCUGGAGGCGAGCGACCAGGACUGCUUCAGCAUGCAGCAGGUGUGCAGCGCCGUCUGCAUUCGUGCCGCCAGCCUGUGUGCCGCCGGCCUGGCCGCCAUCCUCAGCCACAUGCGCAGGAACCGGGAGCUGACCCGCCUGAAGACCAGCGUGGCCGUGGACGGAGCCGUGUUCCGGGACCACGCCAAGUUCAGCCAGACGCUGCAGCAGCUGGUGAAGAAGCUGGCCCCUGAGUGCGACGUCACCUUGGUGCAGGCGGAGGAUGGCAGCGGCAAGGGGAUUGCCAUGGUGACCGCAGUGGCAUCUAGGCUGGCAGCCCAGCGCUUCCAGGUGAACCAAACCCUGGCGCUGCUGAAGCUCUCGCCCGAUGCCCUGGGCAAGGUGCAGGCCUUGCUGAGACGGGAGAUGGAGCUGGGGCUGAAGAAGGAGACGCAGGCCACGUCCUCCGUCCGCAUGCUGCCCACCUACAUCUGUGCCACGCCCGACGGCUCGGAGAGAGGCGACUUCUUGGCUCUGGACCUGGGCGGGACCAACUUCCGGGUGCUGCUGGUGCAGGUGGGCGCCCGGGAGCAGGGCGGCGUGCGGAUCGUCAGCGAGCUGUACUCCAUCCCGCCCCAGGUGGCCCAGGGCCCGGGCAGCCAGCUCUUUGACCACAUCGUGGAGUGCAUCGCGGACUUCCAGACCAAGCAGGGCAUGAUGGGCCAGACGCUGCCGCUCGGCUUCACCUUCUCCUUCCCCUGCCAGCAGACCAGCCUGGACCAGGGCAUCCUGCUGAGCUGGACCAAAGGAUUCAACGCCUCGGGCUGUGUGGGGCAGGACGUGGUGAAGCUGCUCCGGGAGGCGGUGAAGCGCAAAAAUCAUUUUGCGCUGGACGUGGUUGCCAUAGUGAACGACACCGUGGGAACCAUGAUGUCGUGCGGCUACGACGACCCCAGCUGUGAGGUCGGCCUCAUUGUGGGCACGGGCACCAAUGCCUGCUACAUGGAGGAGCUGCGGAACGUGGGCACCCUGGCGGGGGGGGAAGGGCGGAUGUGCGUCAACACGGAGUGGGGGGCGUUCGGCGACAACGGCUGCCUGGACCCGUUCUUCACCCCCUUCGACAGACAGGUGGACGAGGCCUCGCUGAACCCCGGCAGGCAGAGGUUCGAGAAGCUCAUCAGUGGCAUGUAUCUGGGCGAGAUCGUCCGGUACAUCCUGCUGGAGCUCACGGCCAAGGGGCUCCUGUUCCAGGGCCGCCCGUCCCCCAAGCUUCAGACCCGGGACAUCUUCCAGACCAAGUUCCUGUCGUCCAUUGAGAGCGAUGGCCUGGCCCUGCGGCAGGUGUGUGCCAUCCUGGAGCAGCUGGGGCUGCACGUCACCUGCGAGGACAGCGUGCUGGUACGGGAGGUGUGCCAGGUGGUGGCCCGACGCGCGGCCCAGCUCUGCGGGGCAGGCGUGGCUGCUGUGGUGGAGAAGAUCCGGGAGAACCGGGGCCUGGAACAGCUUUCGGUGACUGUGGGCGUGGACGGGACACUCUACAAGCUGCACCCACACUUCGCGCAGGAGGUGCAGGGGACUGUGCAGCGCCUCGCCCCACGCUGCAGCAUCACCUUCCUGCAGUCAGAAGACGGCUCGGGGAAAGGGGCCGCGCUCAUCGCAGCUGUUGCCUGUCGUGUCGCCCGCCACCAACGGGCCUGAGCCUGCCCGGUGUAGGGAGGAGCUCGGGGUCUCUGCAGGCCAUUUGCACACACACCCUCCCCCACCCCCCCGCCGAGGCUGCUGGGUGGGCAGGGACCGGAACACCCCCACAUGGGGCAGCACCCUGUGACGAAGUGGGACUGUUCUUAAUGUUUCCUCUGAAUAGUAUGGGGGUGCCUCAGUUUCCCCUAUACAGUUCUUAAGUCUCUAGGUGGUGGGGUAAGGGUGUAUGAUCAUUGCAGAGCCCUAGAGGGCAGGUGUGUGCAGGGGUCUGGACACAGAGAAUGGCCGACACCCUGUUUCCUGGCAACUGAUGGCCUGGGCCCUUCCCCCCCUGCAAGGUGAAAGCUGAAGGGUUGGAGAACAAAGGAAUCAGGUGCCCUCCUGGCCCGGGAAAGGAACAAAGCCCAGAGGAGGAGGGGCUGGAGGGAGUUUCAGUUUGGGGCUGGCUGGGACAUGGAGUGAAGUGCAGACGUGGUUGUCUGGCUCACUGCCCCCCAAAAUGGACCCAGCUGAGGGGUCCCGUUCUCUGCACCUGCAAGCUCUGUUUUAGACCAUGUUCCUGUCGUCU